ACAAAAGAAAAGGGCAAACAGAGCGAUCGUGAGAGGGAGAGAGCCAGAGAGGUGAGAUUUUGAAGUGGGUCGUUGGAGCUGGGGGCUGGGCGACGCCGUGGGUGGUGGAGAAUGGCGCAAGGUAAAGCAGGGGACGGAGGACCUUCGACCAUUGGAAUAAGGCAGGGGCGGAUUUAUAGAAGAUUUUAUGCUUUCUAUUUUAGAAGCAGAGGUGAGAGGCAGGCAGUGAGACGGAGAGCGUGAGAGGGAGAAAUCGUGACUGAGAGAGAGAUGGAGGCAGCACCCAACUCUGGCGUUUUGAGCCCAGAAACCAUCCUUGUAGGGGAGUAUUUGAUGGCUACUGAACAUAUCUAUUAGGAGCAAUUUGAUGAAUCAUUCGAGGAGCUGGGUUGUGUAUCAAGGAUGACUAUAAUGGAUGACAUCGCAGAUAUGGAAAGCACUACAAAGCUUUCUUCUGAACACGAGUUCAUUAUCCAGCUAGGAGUUAUGCCGCUUGAAGUUCACGAAGGACUAGGGCAUAUAUUUAAUAUUACUUGUUCAUGACGCACCAAGUGGAAAUGAAUAAAUUUAUGUUUUCACAAUGAGGUUGGAAAUUGGUAUUUUUUGGAGCUGCACUUGAUAUCAACAAAUGUCGCAUAAAGAAGACAUAAAUUUUUACUAUAUAGAGUAUUAAUUUGUCUUCCUAUAUUAGUAGAUUAAGAACAAAAUCAUAUGCUUGCUUUUGUAGUUUAAAUAUGUGCGCACCAUUGAGAUUAACUCUUACAUAGAAUUCUUUUUGUUGUGUACAUUAUAUCUAAUCACUUUUGUAA